ensembl:lncRNA
GCUCUAUUUACACACAGCGUCUCACUAGGUGCUGUGUGGUGCCCUAAAUGCUAUUCCCAAAGAAGCAGUGGGAACUGGAGGGAGGCUGUUCUCCCUGUCCUACUGAAAGGAAUCACUCAGCUUGCAGGGAGCAGAUCCAGUGGAAGGAAGAGGAAGCAGUACUACUUUUUCACCCGGAGGGUGGUGACGCACUGAACAGGUUGCCCAAGGAGGCUGUGGAUGCCCCAUCCCUGAAGGCAUUCAAGGCCAGGCUGGAUGUGGCUCUGGGCAGCCUGGGCUGCUGGUUGGCGACCCUGCACAUAGCAGGGGGUUGGAACUGGAUGAGCACUGUGGGCCUUUCCAACCCUGACCAUUCUAUGACAUGAUUCUAUGAUAUAUGCAAGUUACUUUAAAAGAAAAAAAAUUCAGACCCAGAAGUCAACCCAUUCCCACACUCAGGACAGCAGAUUUCUGGGGGCCCACCCAAGGAGGGGGCCCUGAUGGCUCCACUAGGUCAACAGGAAUGAGUACAAGAGGAGCCCGUGCUACUGAUGCUUACACAUCCAUCUACAAAAUGACCUCUGUUAAUAGGCUCUUCAGUCUAAGAAAGUUUGACCUUCAUAAGGACCUCUGGGGUUUGAUCAAAUAAUUCCCUAACCAUGUCUUCGCUCAGAUAGGCAUGUGAACUUCUACAAUCUUCCAGUAUAAAUCACAGGAGCUAAAAAUCACGGGGGCUUUUUUACUCCUUUAAUCUUUCAGAGCAUCCAGAAACUCAUUAACAUCCAUCUCACCGCAGCACAACUGGACAUGGCACUGCAGUACAUCACUGUGAUGAUCAAGCCUUUUUCAUAGGCUGAUUUCUAGGAUGAUACCUUCCUCUGUGCCUUCAGCCCUCAAACACAUCUUAUCCCCACGUGUGCAGUCUAAAUACAUACUGCUAAGUAAAACUUACCAAGUCUCUCUAUAUCAGAGAUCUGCCUUACUCAAUAUUUACUAAUCAUUUCAUCUUGGUAUCACUUGCAGACUUUGAAAUGAUUUUAUGCUUUCAUCCAGAUCAUCAACAGAAGCAUUAAACUGCAGAAGUCCACUGCACCGAUGCUUGACUUUUAAACUCAUGGAUCUUUCCUUCAAUCUCCACCAGCGAUUUGCAUUUCACAGAGGGGGUGAAAUCACUCCUUCUCCGGAUAACCACGCUGUUCACCCGAUGGUGUACGUUAGUUUAUUCACAUAACAUAUGAGUAAUAGAAAAGACGUAAUGGAAUAUGCUUUUUUGACUCCUUUUUAGAGAACAACUGAAAUCCUGACCAGAAAGCAGAGAUUACUCAAGCCAUCACGCAAUAAAACAGCUGAACAGCAUUUGGGUAUCCACCAGAGCCUAAAACCAAAACACAGGGAAACAAAACCUCACACCCAGGCAGAAGUAUGGAAUUUCAUCUGCAAUCUAGCUAUGCACACAUGUUCUCACCCCUUCCCUUUCAACUUCACAAGCAGCAGAGAAGUACAUUCAAUACGUACUGGGCAUGCACAGCAUGUUGUUUUAUAACCAUUGAGUCUAAUCAGAUUUCGAGAUAGGAAAAGAAAUUUAAUGAUGGCUAUUUGAUAAUAAACCAUCAACUUUGCAGCUCUUUAAU